rnacentral:tRNA from 1 species
ACUCCAGUGGCCUAAUGGAUAAGGCACUGGCCUCCUAAGCUGGGGAUUGCGGGUUUGAGUCCCACCUCGUGUG